AUUGAACGCUGGCGGCUUGCCUUACACAUGCAAGUCGAACGGCAGCACGGGAGCAAUCCUGGUGGCGAGUGGCGAACGGGUGAGUAAAGUAUCGGAACGUGCCCAGUCGUGGGGGAUAACGUAGCGAAAGCUACGCUAAUACCGCAUACGAUCUAUGGAUGAAAGCGGGGGAUCGCAAGACCUCGCGCGAUUGGAGCGGCCGAUAUCAGAUUAGGUAGUUGGUGGGGUAAAGGCUCACCAAGCCGACGAUCUGUAGCUGGUCUGAGAGGACGACCAGCCACACUGGGACUGAGACACGGCCCAGACUCCUACGGGAGGCAGCAGUGGGGAAUUUUGGACAAUGGGCGAAAGCCUGAUCCAGCCAUGCCGCGUGCAGGAUGAAGGCCUUCGGGUUGUAAACUGCUUUUGUACAGAACGAAAAGGUUUCUACUAAUACUAGGAGCUCAUGACGGUACUGUAAGAAUAAGCACCGGCUAACUACGUGCCAGCCGCCGCGGUAA
rnacentral:rRNA from 1 species